GACGAACGCUGGCGGCGUGCUUAACACAUGCAAGUCGAACGAUGAAGCCGGAGCUUGCUCUGGUGAAUUAGUGGCGAACGGGUGAGUAACACGUGAGUAACCUGUCCUUGACUCUGGGAUAACUGCGGGAAACUGUAGCUAAUACCGGAUACGACCCUCGGAGGCAUCUCCUGGGGGUGGAAAGAAUUUCGGUCAAGGAUGGACUCGCGGCCUAUCAGCUAGUUGGUGAGGUAAAGGCUCACCAAGGCGACGACGGGUAGCCGGCCUGAGAGGGUGACAGGCCACACGGGGACUGAGACACGGCCCAGACUCGUACGGGAGGCAGCAGUGGGGAAUAUUGCACAAUGGGCGCGAGCCUGAUGCAGCAACGCCGCGUGAGGGAUGACGGCCUUCGGGUUGUAAACCUCUUUUAGUAGGGAAGAAGCGAAAGUGACGGUACCUGCAGAAAAAGCACCGGCUAACUACGUGCCAGCAGCCGCCGCCG
rnacentral:rRNA from 1 species